AAUCAUUUAGGCUGAUUGUUGAUCAUUCUGCUUCAGUUUCUUAGCGAGAAAAGUUGCCGAAAUAGAUGUUUCACUUGUUGUUAACUUUCCACAGGCUUGUUCUUGAACUGGGUUGGAGGGCCUUCUGCUAGACUUACCCCCAAAGGUUUGAAUUUACUCCUUUUAUCUAGAUCGGAAUUUUGAUUCAAGGGUGGUGGACACUUGAUCUUGAAUCGGACUUGUGAUUUCUUCAAGGGCUUCGAGGUUUGAUCUUGAAUGAAAUUGGACCAUGAGGAGCUUCACGUGGACACUUGAUCUUAAAUCGGACUUGUGAUUUCUUCAAGGGCUUCGAGGUUUGAUCUUGAAUGAAAUUGGACCAUGAGGAGCUUCACGUGGCAAGUGAUCUUCGGUUUUGUCGGGGAUGAAUCAGCACAUGUUUGUUACGCUUGUCUCCACAUGCUUCAAUGUAUCAUUUUCACUUGCCUUACUUGCUCCCCUUGCUUAAGUAGUAUUUUUCCUGGUUUUCCUCCAUGCAUGUGUGGCAUCUUCUCUUGCAGUAUUUGCCUUCUGAUUGCAUUUGGAUGGUUCAUCACUUCUUGGUAA
rnacentral:lncRNA from 1 species